GUACGGGUGGUCUGGUUCCUUCGUGACCUCACUUCGGAGCUCGAGGCUGGCGGCGGCGGCGACCCCAUGGAGUUCCUGAUGCAGCCUAUACGCCGGUACUUCUUCCCCGGUUGUCCUUGCGUUUUUUAGCGACCAGAUGUGUGUUUUGAAAAGAUUUGGUUUGGCCUGGAUCAGAUCCACUUUCCUAGAGGUGGUGGGAGCGAGUUUGGUGCCCCCACCAGUACCGCGGAGCCGACUGUGGUGGCUAUGGUGGUGGAGCAUCAGGUGGUGGUGGAACAGGUGGUGGCGGCGCAGGAGGCUCCGAUGGGCAGCGUGGACGCACAGAUCUUGGCGACCAAGGGAGCGUCGGCUGAUAUGAGGGACAGCUUGCCACCGACCUCGGAGCUGUCAAUUGGAAGAUGAAUCCCCGAGCGCUUCGAUGGAGUAGGUUAGUGCUGGAUUUGAUCUUAUGCUUAGCAAAGAAACGUAGUUCUAUAGGUAAGAACAAAGUUUGUGAGGAUAAAAUCCUGCCAUUAGCGUCUGCAGUGGCAACGAGGCGGGGCAGCUGAGCUACGGAUCGGAAUCGGCAGGUAUGUGGAUCCGUAGCUAUCUGGCGGUCUGGAAUCGAUUUUUAGGCUAGAUGCUUGGUAGUUGAGGGUUGAGUUUUUCAUAUGCCAGAUCCAAUAUUAUUCAGAAAGUAGGGAAAGUUUGGUGCCAUGCGAUUUGCUGCAAAUGGGACUGCCGAAUCAGGUGGAGGUGCCGCGGCAGCAUCCCACGGCAGGAUCUUCGGGCCUGCUGCGGUGGUGGCGAACAGAAGGGAUAACUCGCCUAGUUGCCUUCAACCAUCGGGCUCUCCGCGGGGAAGAUGAAUCCCCAGGCCCCGGCUGAAAUAAAAGGUGAGGAGAAAGCUCACUGAUUCCAUCGAGAAUGGUCGAAUUUUUGAAUUUUAGGUUUACAUGGAUGAGCGAAUCGUACAGCGAUGGCGAAUUGCUAUGCUUGCCGUGUGUCAACAGUAUUUAGAUAAUUCAUGACAGGUGUGUUUGUGUUUGCUGGCUGAGAAUUGGUGCUGCCGCACCCAGCAGGACACAUCUUGCAUUAGUGACUUCGAGAAGGCUGUCAGGUGUUUUUAUAGAAAAGCCAACUGAUAGUGUGACCGCUCCAGUUCUUGGCAGUACUUUCGACUCACUUGGCAAGGUGUAUGGUUUAGACAUUUUGCUUUGUACAUUUGGCAAUUACUCCGGUAUAUUUUAGCCGUGUCCUCAGUUCUUGUUAUUUCCUGCAUUCUCAAGAAUUGAAAACAUAUUGUAGGGUAAAGUUGGUGUUCAGAACAGAAGGUCUUGCCAUUGCGAAUGUCUGGCUCUGAUAAAGACUUUUACAAGCAGAGGACAAUGUUUGAUACUCCUCUGUAAAGAAAUAUAUUAUUUCUUUACAAAGGGAGUACAUUAAGCAUAGAGAGAGUCAUAAUAUUCGCUUUCACUGAAUUUGGCGAGAUAAUCCACAGUUAGAGAAGCAGGAGAGAGUUUGAGGCAAGUAACCCGUGGUAGUAAUCAUACUAGUGGAGGUAUUGGCACUAACAAUGUACCCAGGUCAUUUCCAUGUGUUGGAGGCUCGCUUACGUCUCUGGGAUAUUAAAUAUAUUAUGUGCAAAUCAGGUGCUGAUGCUGGCUCUGGGAGGGGUACGAGGGGGCAGAACAAGAGUUGUUGUGUUAACAAUGCAGUGACAGGUUGUGAGAUCAUUCAGAUUGACUGACUGAGUGUUGUGAGAUCAUUGAAAUUUUGCUGCGACAUUUUGAAUUUGCAGGGGAUGGGACACCUUGCGAUGUGCCUGAAGCCUUGAUGCAAUAUGACCGCAAUGAUGUUGCUGGACAAUCAGGUUAUCAUCUGUCAUUUCGCUUUGUUCUAAAAAUUGAGUUAUCUUUGCAUUCAGUUAACAUAGUUCUUUGCAGACAUCCAUGAGCAUGAGGAUGAAGUGGGUAGGGGAUUGUGCGUGAUGUCAGGCUGGAUGAGGAGUAACCUAAGGUUGCAGAUAGGCAUGGUCAGGACAUCGUGAAGGGUGAGAUGGGUGAUAAGUUCCGAGGAAAAGCUGGUUUGAAGGAUGAAGAGCCAAACGCAAGAGACAUGCUACUUUCUAUGACAGGAUGUUGUCAUGCACUUCCAGAGAACUUAGCAAGUAAGUUAAGUUUGAGUGUUGUUAGUACAACGUUUGCAAUUGUUAACUUGUGUGUCUAUCAUCAACACGCGCAGGAAGUGGUUCGAGCAUAUAGGUCUAUAUCUUGUGGUCCUAGUAGCGCUCUGAUCUAAAAAAUAAUAAUCUUGUGGUCCUAUCAGGAGAAGACUUCGUGAGGGAGUUCGGACCAAACGGGCUGUUGACAGUGGAUUCGUGUGUCGCGGCUGAUCAUUACAAGGAAGGUCGGAUGUUUGAUAGUUGACAGAUCAGGUGGCACCACGUCUUUGACUUGCGGUUUGUGGUGAGUGACCAAGAAAUGUCUUACUGUCUUUUGUACAAAUCAAAGUUUACACUAGCGAUCCGGGGUUUUACAACUGGCGCUGAUGUAUAUCUCGUAUAGCCUGGACUACGAACUUAUGAAUAUGAUGAUGAGCUAUGAAGUGCUCGGCUACAAGCUUCAGUAGACAAAAUUAUUUUAUGCAAAGAAAAUUUGAAAAGACAUGUCAUUGUUCAACUGAUAACCAAGUGAAUGGCUGAUACAUUUUGUAGAUGAUGCUGCCGGUGCCAAUGUACGAGGUCCAUAGUGUAUGAGGUGAUUUUGAUGAGGGGGACAGGGUUGAGCUGCCAGAUUUCAUGCUUGAAGUGCUCUUUCUUAGGUAUGAGUUAUACGGAUGUAGUAUUUUAGAUCCGGUGUCUGCGAGAUUGAUUAUGAAACACGCUGUGUACAUUAGACACUGGAGGGGAAUGUUAGCUACCAUCUCAUUUUGUGGUGUGGUAGUGAUUCUAAGCCCAGUGUUUGCCACAUUGAGCCUAACCUGUAUUUUGAGCAAGACAUGGCAAGCUAGAUUACAUCCUAGUCAGCUGGCGUGGAAGUGCUUGUGAUCACUCUGUGCUUAGCUAUACUAUAUUUGCAUGUAAGGAUUGACAUGCCACAUGUUGAAGGUGGUAACUGAACCAACAGAUGAUGAAUCGUUGGUUUUUAAGAUUUGUAAGUGCUUUGUUAAGAUUGUAGUGCAGAACUCUGUAAGGUGUUCAUUUUGCAAUUAAUGCUGUUCAGAACCAUUUGGAGUUACUCUCCAGCUAAGGAUGGAUGUGGUUUUCAAUUAGGAGACCUGGACGGUGAGGUCUAUCCCGUAGAGGUAGUCAAAUUAUGAGACUUGGUAUUUUGCCAAAAUGGCUUCUGAUGAGUUCAUGUCGUGUUUUGCAAAAAGGAAACUGAAAACUUUCAAUGUGCGUUUUAAG
rnacentral:lncRNA from 1 species